AUUGAACGCUGGCGGCAUGCCUUACACAUGCAAGUCGAACGGUAACAGGUUAAGCUGACGAGUGGCGAACGGGUGAGUAAUGUAUCGGAACGUGCCCAGUCGUGGGGGAUAACUGCUCGAAAGAGCAGCUAAUACCGCAUACGACCUGAGGGUGAAAGCGGGGGAUCGCAAGACCUCGCGCGAUUGGAGCGGCCGAUAUCAGAUUAGGUAGUUGGUGAGGUAAAGGCUCACCAAGCCGACGAUCUGUAGCUGGUCUGAGAGGACGACCAGCCACACUGGGACUGAGACACGGCCCAGGCUCCUACGGGAGGCCGCAGUGGGGAAUUUUGGACAAUGGGCGCAAGCCUGAUCCAGCCAUGCCGCGUGCGGGAAGAAGGCCUUCGGGUUGUAAACCGCUUUUGUCAGGGAAGAAAAGGUUCUGGCUAAUACCUGGGACUCAUGACGGUACCUGAAGAAUAAGCACCGGCUAACUACGUG
rnacentral:rRNA from 1 species